GGCCUCCGGGUGUUUACUACAGGCUGUGUUCUUACACUAACUAUAAAGAAAGAGGAGGCAGAGUAAACCUAUUCCAUAUACAUCUCAGCCCAGGCCCUGUGCCUGGUCUGUAUUGUGAAUGAGGAAACAUGG